GGUGGUUCUUGGGUGACGCACCCAGAAUCAGGCUCCCUACUCUCUGGUGCCACAGUGCAUCACCCAAGAACCGCC
rfam:Myotis davidii contig198916, whole genome shotgun sequence.